GCGAACGCUAGCGGCGGGCUUAACACAUGCAAGUCGAGCGGAGAGCUUCGGCUCUCAGCGGCGAACGGGUGAGUAACACGUAGGUCACGUACCCUUUGAUGGGGAAUAACCUAGGGAAACCUGGGCUAAUACCGCAUAUGUCCUUCGGGAUGAAAGCCUUCGGGCGUCAGAGGAUUGGCCUGCGGCCCAUUAUUUAAUCCUAGUUGGUAGGGUAAUGGCCUACCAAGGGUACGAUGGGUAGCUGGUCUGAGAGGAUGAUCAGCCACACUGGAACUGAGACACGGUUCAGACUCCUACGGGAGGCAGCAGUCUAGAAGCUUCCGCAAUGGGCGAAAGCCUGACGGAGCGACGCCGCGUGCGCGGAGAAGGCCUUCGGGUUGUAAAGCGCUGUCAUCGGGGAAGAGAACCCGCGAGGAGACCCUCGCGGGCGCGACGGUACCCGAGAAGGAAGCCCCGGCUAACUCCGUG
rnacentral:rRNA from 1 species